GGCCGCUUAGCUCAGCUGGUUAGAGCGUUCGAUUCACAUUCGAAAGGUCAGGGGUUCGAGUCCCUUAGCGGCCA
rnacentral:tRNA from 1 species